rnacentral:snRNA from 1 species
AUACCUUUCUCGGCCUUUUGGCUAAGAUCAAGUGUAGUAUCUGUUUUUAUCAGUUUAAUAUCUGAUACGUGGAUCAAUGGUUUACAUGUUUAUAACAAUAGCUUGCUAUUGGGGCUCACAUGUGUUAUCCUUGUGUUGCACUACUGCAAGGUUUGGUGCACCCUAC